rnacentral:rRNA from 1 species
UAAGGAAUAUUGGUCAAUGGACGCAAGUCUGAACCAGCCAUGCCGCGUGGAGGAUGACGGUCCUCUGGAUUGUAAACUUCUUUUAUUUGGGAAGAAAACCUCUGAUUAUUCGGAGCUUGACGGUACCAGAUGAAUAAGCACCGGCUAACUCCGUGCCAGCAGCCGCGGUCAUCCGGAGGGUGCAAGCGUUAUCCGGAUUCACUGGGUUUAAAGGGUGCGUAGGCGGAUAGGUAAGUCCGUGGUGAAAUCUCUCGACUUAAUCGGGAAACUGCCAUGGAUACUAUUUAUCUUGAAUGUUGUGGAGGUUAACGGAAUAUGUCAUGUAGCGGUGAAAUGCUUAGAUAUGACAUGGAACACCAAUUGCGAAGGCAGUUAACUACACAAAUAUUGACGCAGAUGCACGAAAGCGUGGGGAUCAAA